GCUUCUAGCAGUGGCAGCCCACAAGCAAGAAACAGAGGAAGCAUAAAAUUUUGCUGAACCUGUUACAGACUGAUUUUCAUGAUUAAACUCGGUAACUGUCACACUUACCAUCAGAGCACCCGAGACUAUCCUGCCAGGGGAACAGAAGCACAGCAAAGACACCCAUCCAUAUCAUCUCUCAGCACAGUGAAUUUCAAGAGACUUCCCCUGCACAUCUGCCCAGGUUGCAACAAGAGCAGCAAUCCACCAGAGGGGGCC